CUGACUUUGGUAACACAUACAUUUAAAUUGGAAGGACACAGAAAAGAUUGGCCUGGUCUCUGGACAAGGAUGGCACACAAAUUUGUGAUGUAUUCCAUAUCUGA